rnacentral:lncRNA from 1 species
AAAAAUAUGACAAUCUUGUUUUAUUGAAUAAAUGCAUCAUGAACUCAAAUAGGAUGAUGGAUAAAGAGUUUCUAAAUCUUUGUUGUGUCCAUUUCUCUAGAGGAUAUAUAUUUUAUAGUGGCUAGUCUCCUGAUUUAAGCAAUAUAUCAAGUUUUAUUAAAUUAGUUGUUAAAAAAUUAGAGCGAUGUCUAUAUAGCAUGAAAGAACGUUUAUCAUACAUUAUUACAAAUUUGGAACGUGGUUAUAAAAUAUUAAGCAACACUAAAGGGUG